rnacentral:misc_RNA from 1 species
AGUAUUGUUUAAUUAAUAAAAACGAAACUAUUUUUAAUAAGUAGGGUAGACGUAAAACUUUGUUUAGCAAAAAUUAUCUAAGCGUAGUAUAAAUAUGUUUUUUGUAACCACUGUAGAUUGUAAAUGUUAUAGCAAUAUAUUACAAGUCUUAUGUAAAAUGUGAGAGACUGUUACUUGCGGACAAGCUUAUGGGCUUUUGCAAGUAAAUAUAAUUUGAUGUAUGCUUUUCUUAAUGUUACAAAUAAAUACAAAAAAAAAAAUAAAAAAAAAAAAAAAAAAAAAAAAAAAAAAAAAA